UNUCAGGCUCCUUUCAGCAUGCACUUCUUGU
rnacentral:piRNA from 1 species